AAUUACUGCCCCAAGACAUACCCCAUCAAACACCACAGUAGAUGAACUCCGGUGACUCAUCCCCUCAGCGUCGUGAGCUCAUCUUCGCCCAAAUUCAUGGCACCAGUGGCUGAUCUCUAUAAAUUGAGUGUUUUUCCUCGUUCCUCCUCAUUGUUACACACCUAGCCCACCGCUCAAUGCCCUAGUUCAUCCACCAUAGCCCGAGAAUUCCGGAUUUUCUCGGAAUCGGCCGGAGCACCAUCGUGAUACCCUCCGUCGUGGCCAGAGCUGUUCAGUAGAUCAGCCGGAGCAGUUCAUCGCUGUCACUGGACACCGUCGCAGAGCGCCUUCUCGUCGACUCGCUACUCCAUCUCAUCACCCGCUUUUUCAACGGUCGUCCUAGAACUCUGGUGAAGAAACUGCUGAGUUUUGCUGCUUCUGCUCCAAGGUCGUCCCAAAGCAGGAGGAAGAAAAAUAAGAAAAACUUAUGGAAGGUAUUUGCCUUCCUAUGAUAUAAUAAGUAUAAGCACUCGAACUUGUUUAUGUAAUAAUGACUCUUUCUAUAUUGUACUUAUGAAUGUAAAUUAAGUUAUU